GUCAUAGAGUCGCAUGUGUACGACGUGCAAUUAUAUCAUACAGAGUGCAAGUUAAACUUUACCAGUCUCGCAGCGUUUAUGUUAGUUUCACACUUUUGAAAAGUUGUAAAUACUUGAGAAAUGCGAUAAAAUUUAGUAAUGAUUUAUGUGUGAAAGUGAAAGGUAAAUAGAAAUAAAUGAUUCAAAAAUGUUUUUUUUUAAUCUGGGCACGCUGUAUGCACAUUAAUACUUUUUAAUACAUUUUUUAUCUUUUACUUCAGACGUCGUGCGUAUUUUACGGUUAUUGACGCUUAAAUUAUGCAAUGCAAUUGUUUAAUACUUGUUUUACGUUAAUUUAUAUUUAUGGGUGCUUUAGGGGUACACUUGGUAGCCAAGAAUUAAUUUAUAAUAGGAAAUUGUAUUAAGAAUCGAAGAUAUUCGUGAUUUUUGAUGUAGAAGAGGCCCAUUUUCAACGACUUUGUAAUUUUAUUUAGCGUAGAUACGACGUAUAUUUGAUUAAAAGCCUGGUAGAAGUAUAAAACUUUUGCGGAAUAAUCUAACAACAUUAUUACAUCGUUUAUCUUCUUCCUGGAAUACGUAGUUCAUAGUAUUAUAUUUAUUUAAAAUUGAAUUACAUUUCAUUUUGAGUUUUACCACGAGGGCAUCGUCAGUAAAAAUGUAUACUAAAAACAAAUGAUAUUCAAUUCAGGUACAAUUUUAAAUAAAUGUUAUUAAACAGGUAGAAAACUGCAGAAUAUCUGGUUAGUGUUUAGUAUGUUUGUGGUAUUCGUACAUAGAUGGCGCUGAAAUCAAGUUCUGGUUUGUUUCUUAACUAAUGCGAAUGGAAGUUUGAAAAACCAUGUGCCUACUUGUUUACAACACACUUUAACUAACUACUAACCUAGAAUGUUAUCAAAAUAUUGUAGUAAAUCGCGUAAGUAGUGUUACAAACUAAUUACAUAGCAAAGAGUGUGUAUGCAAAUUGAAUAUAGAUCAUGGUUCGACUUAAGCACAGAUAUCUAGUAGUGCUUGUAACAGACACAGAUAAUAAUAAACCUGCCAAAUUGGAUGAAAAAUGCGUCUAUUUAUCAAUAAGCAACACAGUGCGAUAUUUACAUGGUGUGUUUGGUGAUGCCGCAGUACACAAUGGCUUGUGUGUAAAGUACAUCAAUAAACACACUGGUUUAGUGGUGAUUCGUGCCAGAAGAGGAACCCAUAGGUUAUUGGCAAGUGCUUUGCCAAUGGUUCGAACUGCAUCUAUUAACAAUAAAGAGACUGCUAAUAUUAGUAUUUCAACUUUGUACACUGGUGCAUGUGUGAAACAAUGUCUGCUCUUCAUUAAAAGAUAUCAAAUGGAUGAAUAUCACAAAGCAGCAGUGACUAUGAGUGAAGAAGAACGCCAAGAACUUAAAGAAAUGUUCAUGAACUAUUCACUUGCUAUUUAAUGUGGCAAUUGAUUUAUAUUAAUUGACUGCCUAGAUAUAUGAAAGCACUUACAAUUAACUGUGUUGUCUAGUAAUUAAAAUAUUUACACAUGUGUUGUUGUUAUUAUUAACCAUAUAGCAAAAAUUUAUUAAUUAAAAUAACUUCAAAAAUGCA